AUGUAAGAAACCAGGUAGUGAAGAGAGGGUCUUCAGCCAACGGGCUUUGUAUUUAGCUCCUGUACUGCAUAAAAGGCAGGGAGAAUGGAACACCUUUUCACCCUGGGGAGAAGGUAGAGGCUGAGGUCAGCCUGAGGUGGAACACGGGAGUCUGGGAAGCAUGCCUCUUAGACACUCGUCCCCAUUCUCCUUGUGGUUUUCAUCUACAUGGCCACCGCUUGCAUGUCUCUGUCCUUGCUGUCCCUAAGCAAUCCUACUGUAAGAAAAACAGAGAUGCCUUCUGGUCAUCUCAGGCAGGGCAGCUUGGAACAGGAAGGCAGGCACCCUACCCAGAGGUCAGACCAACACACUAGCAAUAGUGUGAAUGACUCCUCUGUCUAGGAAAAACAUGGGGGGAAAAGUGGGUGAGCUAGGGCAGAGGGUUUGGAAUAGUGAAGAACAAGGCACCCCCAUCUCCAGCAGAAAGGGCCCAGUUAGUGCCAUGCCUCAGUCAAGGCACACCUGUGAAGUGGCUACCCCAUUUCUUGAGGAACCCGGCAUGAUCCAUGUGGAAAAGUGAGGGAGUCCGGAGAGGCUGAAUGAGUGGAGGAACCCAGGGACAAGAAAGCACUUCUCCAGGGAAGAGGAGGCAGGGGCUGCAAGCUGGCAGAUGUAAAAUUCCCCAAUGUCUGUAGAAUUUUGGUAAUGUCCCCCAUCGAAGUGGGGGAUAGGGGAUGUAUGAUAUUCAGAUGUUGGGACAAGCCAGGAAUCUUUAACAAUUGUUUCUCCCACCCUGACCCCCCCCCCCCACACACACACACAUACACACACACCUCCAAGGGCAGGAGCUGAAGUACUUCCAACAAGACCCACCCCAGGUAACCAGCCGAAGUGAGUCAGUUAGGAGGGGUGUCUCGGCCCGGGCAAACAAUGCAGAACCCUCUACCCCCUCCCCUGUGCCCUCCACACCCGAGCCUAGGUAAUUAAAAUAUGAAUUCACCUUC
rnacentral:lncRNA from 1 species